CUAGUUAGUUUAUAUCUUUAGUUCGAUUGAACCAAAUGAGAAUACGGACAGCUUAAAAACCUGCCCCUUACCCACCCGCACAAUGGACACCGCGGGCACCCGUGCCCUAAACCCAGCGACUCUUUCUCCCGAGCGACGACUACGGCGUUUUCUCGGCGAUCGGCUGUCUUCCUCCCCAUCAGCGAACAGCGGAAGCAAUGGCGGUGUCUUCCUCCGCUGAGUUCCCGUCGCUGCUUCGUUUUCCUCGGUGAACGGCGGCUGCCGCGUCUUCCUCUCCAUCGGCGAAACAGCGUCUCCGCCCCCCCAGUAUCUCUCUCUUUCUUUUCCUCUUCCUCCUUCGUCGUUGCAGCCCCCCCUUCCCCGAUCCCUCCUCUCUCCCCCUCCCUCUUCCACUGUCGCAGCUCCGAUCCUUCCGCCGACACCUUCCUCCCCCUCCCUUCUCCUCCCACUUUACCCUUUACCCCUCUCUCGCUGCUCCUCCCUUCCCCGACACCAUCCUCCCCUCCUCUUCCCCUCCGGGACCACAGCUCUUCCUCCCUCUUCCAUCCCGUCCUGGAAGCGCCCCCCCCAAACCCAACACACCCUGCAACCGUCGCCCCCACCCCCGAUAGAGUAGGUUACUGAUGUGGAAAAUCUCGAUAUUGUAGGUUAUUGUAUGCGAUCUUGGCAAUUGGUGUUUUUAAUCUUGAGAGUAGGUUAUUUUUUAUAUUCUCUGAUUCCUGGUGGAAUGUUAGUUAAUGGGUUUGCUGAUCAUCUUUUUGACACCAUCAAUUUUAACUUCUCACAUGUUUGUAUUUUUUUAUAAAAUAUGUCUGAUUUCUUCUUCUUUUUAUUGCUCGUGUUUUCUGGAGGAAAGGAAAGUUAUAUAGUGUAGUAGGGCUAUUGGAUAAUCUUCUCUUUUGGUGAAUAAAUAAUUUAGUGUAGUAUUGCUUAUUGAUAAUUUGGUCAAUAAAUAAUAAGUUUGAAGUCCCUGUGGUAGCUCAUAGUUCUUUUUAACAGAACUAAAACCAUAGAAAGUUUGUAUAUUAAAGGAAUUAUCUUAUUUUAACUGAGAUUUAUGUUUCUUUUUCUGAAUCCUUAAAUUGACCGUCUUUUACUCAUUGGCGCAUCUGACAUCUUUGACCCAUGUUUUAUUUGAGAUAUUGGUGGUGCAACAUAGAAAGGUCAUACUGUUUAUCACCUAGCUUUCAGUUCAAAUGAGAACGUACAGUGUGUACAUGCAUCUCUUGUCAUAACAUUGAUGAAGUGACUGCUUGCACCGAAAUAGAGGCUAUCAAGCAUCUUUAUGUUCAAUAGUAGGGUAUAUCUCAAACAUUAAAAUGACAUUGUAUCAUUCACUCCUCUAGAAAAGGUACGGAUGAUGAUCUCAAUUUUAAAGCCAUUGCCUCUGAUCUGUGAAUGCUAAAGGCAUGUGAAGAUUGCCCUUGUACUAAGGGCAAUCUUCACCUUGUAUUAAGAUUAAUCUCAAUUUUAAAGUCAUUUGUAUUAAGGGAUUGCCCCCAUUUAUGAGUUUUUUACCAUACAAGUCCUUGGUUACAUUAGUACAUUCUAGUUGCAUGUAAUGGCAUGAGCUGCAUUUUGCCCUGUGCAAUGUAGACUGAUUGGUAAGGAUGCACAAGUAGACCUUCAGUGACUUGUUACAUCCCAGAUAUAAGGCGAGGAUCAUUGAAUUUUUCUCAAAGGUUAAUUUGUUUUAUGAAACCAGUAGGACAUUAUUUUACUUUUGUUGAAGUUGGCAUUUCUUUAUUUGUUCAUUAGCUUAAAUAUUUGGUAUUUUUUAUGUUUGUUAUCUUUCCAGAGUGGGAUUACCAAGCAGUAGGGAGUUAUUUGAUGCUCAAUUGGAGAAGAAAACUUACAGGAUUAUUACUCGAGUUUAUGAAUGAUUACCAAAAAACAUUGCUACCAGUUGUCCAAAAGCCUGAUGGGAAGAAAAAUUGGAUGGUUUGUGAUCAGAUUCCUAUGAACAAUUUCUGCUGCUAAAUAGAUCUCUAGGUCUUUGUUUAUCUUUUAUAUCUCCUAUGACUACUCUAUGUUAUAUUUGAUAUUACUGAUUCUGAGGUACCAAAUUUAGUUUAUUAUUUAAUUUUUAAAGAAGAAUAGAGUGAUUUGCUUAAUAAAGCUCCAACAAGUCACAUAUGUAGUACCUGGUAUUGAAGACUUUGACCACAUUGGUAUCUCUGAAUUUGUUCAAAAAGCUCAGGGUCUCUUAGUAAGUUUCAGAAAAUUAGAACUUGGAGACAGUGACCGUGACAGCUGAGGAAUUAGCUGUGGUACCUAUUUUGCAGAAUCAACUUUCCAUGCUUGAACACGGCUCAUCUUUCAUUCUUCAGAUUAUAUAUGGCAGCAAGGAAUCUCUUGAAAGCUACUGUUCCCUUCUCUUGUUGUCUAGAGAUGACAUAUUUUAAUGUGGUUGAUGGCAAGGGAUAUUCUUCUCUAUAUGAACCACGAGCAAGCAUUAAGGGUCAAUACGAGGAUUCUUUAGGAAAGAUUCGUUUGGUCAAUUUUCGUGGCUGCCCAACCACUUACUCGAUGGUGGCGACAGGCUACUUUUCAUGGACGAGGCGGAGGUGGGUUUUCUCUCGUUGCAUCGGUCUUCGAUGACGAUGGCAUGCUUUUGCUUGCUUCCAUCCUAUUGUCAUCGUUCCGUCGUAAGUUCUUGAUCCUUGGUCCAAAGAUGGUUCGGUACAGGGAUUCUUUGGGAAAGAUUCUUUUGGUCUAUUUCAUGACCGCCCCUUCCUCGACGAUGGUGGAAACCUAGCCGUAGACACCAUCAUCGGCUUAGAUUCCUUGGUAGAGGCUAAAAACGAAGGUGGCGAUCAACUAGGAGGUUUUUCUGUAGUUGCAUCGAUGGUGAUCUCAUGCUUUUGCUUGUUUCCUAUCCUAUGAUAGUCAUUCUUUCGCAAAUUCUUGAUCCUUGGUGCAGAGAAGUGUCGGUUCAAAGAUUCUUUUGGUCACAGAUUUUCAUAGCAAGCUAUGCUGCUGCCUAGCUUGCAAUGAAGAUGGCAAUUGACGAGGAGGCUUUUUUCUCUCAUUAGGCCGGUGAUGCUUUGUCUUUCUUCCAGCCCUAUCAUUGCUGUUUGAUCACAGAUUCUUGAUCUAAUGAUCCAGAGGAGAAGAGUUAGUAGGUUGGUUCUUUGGGACAUGGAGUGUUCCUUUGCCACAUGAUUGAUUUCUGCCCAUUGGCGAGGAAACCUUCUGUCAAUGGCAUAAUUGCGUUGAUAAAGGAACCUGAGGUGUAGUAGAUUAUUUGGUCAUAGUGUGAUGCUAUGAUCGUGCUGUUUGUGCUUCUUAUGGAUGAAGAAGAGAUAAUUGGAUUGGUUGCCGAUAAGUGGCUGAGAAAGUUUAUUCAUUAGUGUUUGAUAAAUCCAGCUAAUCUGUUUGUAAUAUUAUGAUCAGCUUAGUGAGUGUGGGAAGUUCUAUAUGGCAAGCCAAGGCAAGCACCGACCACAGCCAGUAAUUGAAUAUGAUAUUUAUUCAGGCUACCUUUUAAUACUCUGUGAGUCUACAAAUGCUAGAGGAGAUGUUGAAGAGAGGCUUUGGAUGGCAGUACAAAUGCUAUGACGGUCGUGGGGACUUUGCGACUUGGGAGAACGAAGCACACACUGAGUGUUGAGGUCUAUGGGCUUCACAUGGCCCUGAGAAGCCAUGGAUCAUAAGAGGAAGCAACACGAAGCAGGGGAAAGGGAUCAUCCUCGAUAAAGUGUUAUGAUGACAAGAAUGUUUAAAGGCGUCGUUUGUUACUCAUUCUUGUAUUUACUAGAAAUUUAAGAAGUGAUCUAACUAUAUUUUUUAAAGACAUUCUAAACCUGAUGAAAUAAUGAUAUUUGGUUGAAAUUUCUAGUAUCAAUCUAACUCAACCAGAAAGCCCUCGAUUUUUCGCAAGAAUUCAGCCUAUUAUGAAAAACUUGAAGCAGCAUGUAUAUGAACAAAUGAAAAAGCAAGAUCUCUUUCAUGAGUUUGUCCAAAUAGAUGAAAUAGUGUAGGGACUAUGUCAACCUAUGUCGAUCACUACCUUGGACUAUAGCAAGUAUUGUGUGGUCUUGAGCAUGAGGCUACGUCAAGGCUAAGAAAACCUUGGACGUCCUUGUGUGACACCAAUACCAUUUGUGAUAUAUAGAAGACCAAUCACAGUGUGAUGUCCUUGCGUGGCCCAAGCGGUACCAUCGCAUGGGUCUAGUGGUAUCAGAGCAGCGUUCUUGGCGUCUCGCUGCCCUUCCAUAGCCAUCCAUCAACUCUCCACAACCGCCCAAAGCAAUUCCCACAAUUGCUUAAGAGAUCGUUGCCAAAUUCCACCAUCAUCUCCACCACUACUGAUCAUCCUUUGAUCUCCCCGUGAAUUGCAACAAAUUCUGGUUUUCUACCUUACUGCUGCUGCAAUUUAGUUAUCCUUAUUUGAAAAUCCCAAAAAAAAUAUUCCUAUAUUGCUGCAUAAACUUUUCGUCAUAAAGUUUUCAUCUCUACGACGAAAGAUACAUUGCAGAAUUCCAACCGUAUUGCACCGUCUUUUUGAUCUUGCUACUGUGUUUUUUCUAUCCAAAUCUCUUCAAAAUUUUUAUGACAUCUUUGACACUUCCUAACAGCAGAUUUUCCUUUGGUUUUGUCAAAAAAUUCUCAAUAUAAACCAUUGAUAUUUUACGUCUAAUCUGCUAUACUUGAAAAUCUGCACUAUAAAAUUUCAGCCAUAUAGCACUGUUUGUUUGAUCUUGAUACUACGUUGUUUCUAUUCAAAUCUCUACGAAAUUUUUAUCAUAGCUUUGACACUUCCUAAUAGUGGAUUUCCCUUUCGUUUCAUCAAAAAAUUCUCAAUAUAACCUACUGAUCUUUUACAUCCAAUCUGCUAUACUUAAAAAUCUGUGCUGCAGAAAAUUUCAACUGCAUAUUUUUGCCUUAACCCAUCUAUUUGCAAUCUUUUUUGAAUGAAAUUUCUUAUACACUUCAUAGAUCAUCUUGGCUUUCAUCUAUGAUUGAUCUAUUAAGAAAUUCAUCUCUAAAAACGAUUUUGUGUUGCUGCAAAUUUUUAUCGUAACCCGUUGAAAUUUCUCGACGAGAAUUCUGCAAUCGCAACUUGCACCAAUUUCCUUGUUGUUAUACUACCGAAAUUUUCUUAAUUAAAUUAGAUAUCCUUGCUGUCAUAUAAACUGUGAUUUUGCUAUCAAUUCCCUCCUCAAUUCUCUCAAGUUUUUGGUGGAAUUUACGUCGAGAAAUCGUUGUUUCUUCGACGACAAUUCUACUCUUACAAGACAACACAUACUUGCUGCAACUUCCACUGAUUUUUAUCAAACCUUUGCUACCAUCUACCACAGAUUCAAAACUUUCAUCUACAGCCCUAAAACUCCACCAAACCACACCCUCAAAUUGCACCUAAAUUAGCCACAAAAUAAGCCUAAACCGUAGCCUACAUCCACCGAUCUACCAACCCUUUCGACCAUUAGCUCUCUCAGCCAAUACAUGCCUUUAACCCAACAACAAAAGAGAGAUCUUAACAUCACAGAUUUUGUGGCAUAUACUAUGGCAUCUGAUGAGGUAAUCAAUGCUAAAUUUGAAGCCUUCGAGGCACGAAUGGAGGAUAAGAUUCGGACGCUCUUUACCGAACUCAGAUUGGGCUGACCACUAAGCUCGAAGAAAUCACAUCAAGGAGAGAGCUUUGCCCAAUCGCAUCAAGCCCAAAGAUAUGACUUCCAAGAGAGGGGAAGCUCUAUGACCAACCCCAACUAUCCAUGCAUGAGAGUGGAUUUCCUUAGAUGGCAAGAAGGAGACCCGAUUGGUUGGAUCUCGCGUGCGGAGCGAUAUUUUCGGUACUAUAAAACCGCGGAUGCAUUUAUGGUGAAAAUUGCAGCUAUACAUCUUGAAGGGGAUGCUAUACAGUGGUUUGAUUGGUUUGAACAUACUUAUGGAGUCCUUUCAUGGCGACAAUUCAAAGAAGGACUACUGAUCCGCUUCAGACCAACCGAUUACGAGAAUAUUGACGGACAACUAGCAAAGAUCCGACAAACCUCCACCAUUCAAGAGUACCAAACCUGGUUUGAAAGGUUAUCUAAUCAAACUCAUGAUUGGUCUCAAAAACAGCUAUUGCGGACCUUCAUUGAGGGCUUGAAGCCAGAGAUCCAAGGAGAAGUUAAAGCGCAACAACCGUAUACGCUUAUGGCAGCCAUCUCUUUUGCACGACAUCAAGAGGAGCAAUUAAAUCAUGAAGCUCGGAGGACUAGGGUCGCUCCUCAACCAGUAAUAUUGAAGCCCUCAGCCCCCCCUACUGUCGACCAAGUCCCUACACCAAAGAGGUUAACAAGAGAAGAGCUUCGGGAGCGAUAUGCGAAGGGGUUAUGUUGGCAUUGUGACGAGCCGUGGAGCCGUAAGCAUCACUGUAGCAAAGGGAGACUUCUUAUGAGUGAACCAAUAGAAGAAGAGGUCAUUGAACAUCCAGAAGAGAGCCUUGAACAUGAAGAAGAAGAUGCGGAAGAAGAGCUACAACCGACUGAAGUUACGGUACAUGCACUAGCCGGCUACUCAAACCCGGAAACGAUGAAAGUUGGAGGCCUUCUCAAACAACAACCGAUCACUGUUCUCAUCGACACAGGCAGUUCUAAAAGCUUUAUAAACAGUAAGGUUACUAUCCAGAUGGCCUUACCUAUUGAGAAUUGCAGCAGGUUUGACGAUAAGGUCGUCGACGGACGGAUUUUGAAUUAUGAUCGUAGGCGCCCGCAGGAGAAACUAUUGCUGUAGGACCAAGAGAUAAUUACAUAUUUCUUCCUUCUCCCUCCUGAUGAUCAUAAGGCCAUGUUCAUAAUUAAAUGGUUGACGACAUUAGGUGAUAUUUCUUGGAAUUUUAUGCAACUAAUUAUGAAAUUUUACAGUAAGGGGAAACAGGUGAUACUGAACGGGAAAUGUGGGGGCGACAUAACGACGAUUUGCACACAACAAAUUGAGAAUUUUUGCAUAAAGCAUGUAGCAUAUUUUUUAUACAACAUGAGCAGCAAACUAAGGGAGAGCCAAUACAAUUUGAAGAUCCAAACCUUCUUCCUUUGCUUACUAAAUUUUCAGAUAUAUUUGACGAACCGUACAACCUACCUCUUACCCGUCGGCAUGAUCAUUAUAUAAUGAUUCUUUCAGGCAAACCUCCAGCAAAUACUCGGUCAUAUCAAUAUCUAUAUCUCCAGAAGGAUGAAAUAGAAAGGAUUGUAAAAGAAAUGCUCAAAACAUGAGUUAUUCGGCCAAGUUGCAACAUCUAUUCUUCACCGGUGCUACUUGUACGCAAGAAGGACGGAACAUGGCGAAUAUGCGUUGAUUACUGAGCUCUCAAUGGCAUAACCAUCAAGGACAAAUACCUUAUUCCAAUAGCAAAUGAAUUACUAGAUGAAAGGGAGCACAAACUUUACAAAGCUGGAUUUUUGAUCCGGGUAUCAUCAAAUAUAAGUGUGCGAAGAAGACAUAUCAAAAACCACCUUUUGAACACACAACAACCAUUACGAAUUUUUGCUUUCUUCAACAGAAGGUGGAAUAUCUUGGGCAUAUCAUAUCAGAGGAAGGUGUGACAGUGGACCCCUUCAAAAUUGAAGCAAUGCAAAACUGGCCUACCCCGAAGAACGUAAAAUUGCUACAUGGCUUUCUGGGUUUAACAGGCUACUACUGCAAGUUCGUGAAAAACUAUGGUGAGAUCAGUGCAUCACUUACUUCCUUACUGAAAAAAGAUGUCUUUCAAUGGUCGGACAGAGCCUCCGCUGCCUUCGACAAACUUAAGGCAACCAUGACGACGACGUCGGUGCUAAUACUACCAGAUUUUAACCGACCCUUUAUUAUUGAGGUCGACGCAUCUGGAGUCAGAAUUGGAGCCAUUCUCAUGCAAGAUGGUCGACCACUCGCAUACACUAACAAGGCAUUAUCUCCCUCCCAUCAAAAUAAGUCAACAUAUGAUAAGGAGAUGCUCGCCAUUGUGCGCGCAGCAACGAGGUGGAGACCCUACUUGAUUGGUCGACGAUUUCAAAAUAAAACCGACCAUUAAAGCCUCAAGUACUUUUUGGAGCGAAAGAUACCAUCCCCUGAGCAGCAAAUAUGGGUUACAAAACUUCUUGGAUUUGAUUUUGAAAUAACUUACAAAAAAGGGAAAGAGAAUGUUCUUGCAGAUGCGCUUUCGAAGCUACCCGAGCAAGUUGAAGUUUCGGCCGUUUCACUUCCGACCAGCGACUUCCUUGAGGAUAUUAAGAUGGAAUGGCAGGAAGAUUCAGAUACUAGUAAGAUUAUAAAAAAAUUGGAGGAAGCACCAUGCUCCAUGGCUCAUUACAAUUGGGACUCAAAAAAUUACACUAUAAGGGACACAUUGUGCUUAUGAUAAAUUCUACUUGCAUCUUCACGAGCAGAUUUUGGACAAAGUUAUUCCAUAUACAGGGUGCUAAAUUGAAAAGGAGUACGGCAUAUCACCCACAAACCGACGGCCAAACGGAAGUUGUAAAUAGGUGCUUGGAGACAGCCCAAAGCCACCCACCAAAUAUGACUACCCAAGGAGUUCUUCAGACUCAGCCAAGUGCUAUUAUUGGUUGACGGAUCGUGACUCGACGACGACGAUCCACUACUGAAUUGCUAAUACAGUGGGCAAACCUACUAACAGAAGAUGUCACUUGGGAGAACUAUGAUGACUUGAAGAUUAAAUUCCCAAAAUUCAUUGUUCGUCAGCCUCGAGGAUAAGGCUGAUUUGAAGAGGGUGGGUCUGUUAGGACUCUAUCUAGGAGAGUCCUAAUUGGGAGGGACAUUCAUGUAAAACCAACCUAAGCCAACCCCUAUUAAAGAGGUGAAGAGGCCGGCUAGGGUUAGGAGGUUAUUUCUUAGAGAAGAAUAGGGAGUUGUAAAGGAAUAGGAGUCUUGAGUAGGAGUCCUAUUAGGAGUUGGUUAGAAGUAGGAGUUUUGAAUAGGAGUCCUAUUAGGAGUUGUUUAGAAGUAGGAGUCUUAAGUAAGAGUCCUAUUAGGAGUUAGGGUUUAGAAGCCCUAUAAAUAGUCAUGUAUUCCACCUCUUUUGAUAAGCAAUAGAUGAAUCUUUUCUGCAGCCUUUGAGCAGCAACUUAGAGGGAGGAACCCCUAUAGAGUUCCAAGGAGGCCGAUCCCCUAAAGAGAUCAACCCCAAGUUUAGAAUCUGUAAGGGUUCUAACAGUUUCAUCAUCAAAAUCUAAGAUUCAACAAAUCCCCCUAUCUCAUCUUCUCCGUUCACUAUCUUCGUAAGACAGCCCUCAGCCCUCUCUACCCCAAUCGUUGUUGCCACCCCCCUUUGCUUCUAAAUAGUGCUGAGGUCAUAGGUAAUGUUAGAGCAUGGAUGAUCCCUAAACUCUAGGAAAUGAUCUUCUUCUAUUGCUCUGAGAAGAUUUUUUUUGUUUAUUGAUGACUGUGGCUUUUGUGAGGACUUUGGAAAUCAGAUAUUGUCAUGUUUGUUGCUGUAAAUUCUAUAACUUGCAUACAUAUAUAUAUCACUCGACAACAAAAGUAUUCCUUACCGCAGGCUAGCUUCCAGCAGGAAGCAGUAGCUGAAGAGAUUCUUGAUGAAGAACAAAUCCUGAUCAAGGUUUGGGGGUUCUUUGUUUUCCUGAUAACAACAGCAAAAGUUCAGGAUUGCUUGAGAGGGCAAACCAUUUCAGUGAUGCAAAAAAUCAUCUUUUGUUUCUAGUUCUCCUCUGUUCAGUUUUAGACCCAGAUGAGGUUUUACCACUUAGAUAUGGCAGUUCUAGUUUUUCUGAGAAGUCAACUUCUUUCAUACAGUAAUAACUAGCAUUAAAAGAGAAUGAUUUCCUCACAAGAGGAUUAGUCAGUAGUCUUGAAGUGUAUCAAUGCAUAUGUGGAAAAUGGUUACCUAGAAACUGAGGUUGCUUUAACUCUAUCUUUUCCCUUCUUUGGAGAAGAUUUGUUGAACAAGUUUGAACUAUAUCACGUUCUUUGAUCUGUAGCAUGUUUCAUAAAUUCGAGGAGGUUGUCCAUGAUUCUCUGCAUUGAAUGUGUCAUUGGUAAGAAAGUUUGAUCUCUUCUGAAUGGCCUUAAUUUACACAGAGGCAAUUUUUCCUUUUUGUGUUUUCUGGAAAACUCUUACUAUGUCAUCUAGAGACACCUGGAAAGAGAAUACAGUUUGAAGUUGGAGAUUUAUAAUGAACAAGUGGUCAAGGAAUCCUUGAUCACAUAUGAAGCGUCCUUGCACUUGGUUAAUCGUUUUGAAUGCUCUGCAAUAUAACCAUCAGAAGAAUUUAUUUCUUUAUCAUGAUUGGUAUCAAUAAUGUCAGCUAAUAUGCAGAUGACAACACCUUGAUACAUGAUACCUGUCAAAGAUUAAAGAGCUAAGACAAAGUCUAGUGUGUAAAAGGCCAUGGAUGGUCUCUCUUCCUUCAGGCAGACAAGUAUGAACAUGACAUGUCUUUCCUGAAGUAUACCUGAAGCAACAAUAAGAAUACGUGGAAGAAUUGAUGCUUCUCCAUGUUGACACAAUGAAAAUGAUCCUUUCAUCUGAUCAGUUAUUGUUGGAAUUAAAGGAUAUAUUGAUUGAAAGCAGCAAGAUGGACAUGAUUCAGCCAAGUUAUGAAGCUGUGCUGGAGAUAUGUUCACAAGAUGGUCUUUUUCUCUGCUGAAAUUCCGUUCAUGCCAGGUACCUUAUCUUCGGUGAGGCUGCAAACUUCUCUCGAGGAAGGAGAAUAUUUGAUUCCAUAAGAAGUGAUUGAAAAACUUGUAUUAGAGGUAAUUGUCCUAAGCUAGAUUUGUGUGCUAAUUAAAAAUGCAAAUGUUUCAUGUGCUCAUAUAAAACUGUUUGUGCAAUUCCAUGAGCUUUUGUGUCCAUAUGCAGAAUUUAAUAUGAUUAGUCUUUGGUGAUUCAACUACUUUGGCAAUUUUGUUUUCCUAUCUCUGGAAACCUUUUACCUAAGAGAUCCGUGAGAGUUGAACAAUGAUACAUGAAGAGAAUCUUAUGUAAAACUUUCAUAUUUUCCAGCAUGUCCCAUUUUCGUUGCUCUGUGUUGUGGCGAUAAGUUGAACAAUGAUACAUGUGCUUUGCUUUGUAGCUAUAAGUUGUUUGUCUUGUGCAGUAUGCAUGCUGGUUAUGUCCUUGUGCAUGUCCCAUCUUCUUAUAUAUGAGUACAAGCACAUGAUAAACACCCAAAUUGGAGGAAUAAGCAAUCGAUGGUUGGAAACUUAUUUUACCUACCCAACUAGUUUUAUAAUCUUAAUGAUAAAAUCUAGGACAUAAGUCAACCAUGUAUUAAAAUCAGGCCUUGUUUCUCAUAUCAAGCUGGCUGAUUCUAUCAAUUUUUGAUAUAUUCUGAAAUGAUUCAACAUGAAUAUGAUGGACCUACCUUGUCAAUAAGUGGAUCUCCCUAGUUCUCUGCAGUAUAUCCACUAUCAUUAACUCCAGAUCAUGCUGACAAAAUUAUUUGUCAAAUGGCUCUUGGGCUUUUUUUUCCUUUGUUUAACUCUUUGCAGGAAAACAAUAAUUUUAUAUUAUAGUGGACAUAGACCAAUUUCUCCAAGGAUCUUGGUAACAUUCAAUUGUCACCAAUCACUGAUUGCAAACUAUAUUGUAUAUAGACCAGAUUCUCCAUGCAUAUGUAUGACAUCCUUGGACGAUGUGGUUUUUGAUACGCUCUGCAUGAAAAAGAUCCUUAAGGGCUGCAAAAUUUCAAUUGCACAAUGAGUUCAAAAAUUGGUUCAGCUGAGCUGAAGAUUGGGAAUGUAUUCUUGCAUGGAAUGAUGGUAUUGUCACUAAUUGUGUCAUAUUUCUCAUUAGACAUGUCCUAAGGUAACACAUGUCAAUUUUGUAUCUUUUGAAUUGGUUUUUUCAAAACUUGAAGCAGUAAAAGAUUGUUUCAUGUUUAGCAAUUAAUUCCAAUCUAGUCUUGAUUUAUUUA